GUUCUUUUAACUGAAUCUGCUCUGAUGGCCACUGCAGACAAGUUUUUCUGUGUAGAUAUCUAACUCUUGAAAAGCAUCCUCUAUACGCUGCCUAAAGCUGUGACAUUGGUGCUCAAUGUUUGGACUUGUGCUCGUUCAGUAGCUCUGGUUUCAGCUCUGGUUUCAGCGGAAUCGUAAAGAUUAUGGGUAGACGGUGGAGGUGCAGUUGGCUCAUUUUUUUAUCUUGCACUGCAUCGUUGGACAUUCUAGUGAUUAUUUCCACCUACAUUUUUGUAACAAUGUUGGCCUUUUGUUUCUGAGUUGAACAAUUCAAUUCCGUUAUGAGUAUGCAGCGCUGAGCGCACCACAUUUUCUGAUAUAAUCGUAAUUUUUCAUCGUUUCUUUUUC